GCUUGGACAGACUGGGAGAUGGUGGAGGACAGAAGGGCCUGGCACGCUAUGGUCCGUGAGGUCAUGAAGAGCAGACGUAACAGAACGACUGAACGACAACAAAGAAAAACGACCUUAGAGCCCAACUCUUUCAUCUUACAGAUGAAGAAACUGAAGCCCUGGGAGGUGAUGCUGCUUGUACAAGGGCACACAGCCCGCUCUCUAUCCAUUUCCUCUCUGCAAAAAAGAAGUGGAAUUUCUCUGAGCUCAUCUUCUCAUCUACAGAAUGAAGAUAAAAGGACCAAUAGCACCCACACAGGACUUUUGGCAGCUGUGACAGAAGCUACCCACUUUCUAGGUCCACUUCAGUGUUUUUAUUGGGUCUUUUCCUUUCAGUUAAUGCUGGAUACAGACUUAAUGCUGGAGUGAGGCUGUGUUCAAUAAGUUAGGAGCCCAAAAUGCCACACCUCACCUUAGCCUAGAAAACUCAACAUGGCAGGUGAGCAGCGAGCUGGAUGUAGGUUCCAUAAAAUUGACAAGGCCCUCAGUAUUAGAUCUUUCAUCCUUCUGUCUCUAAGACAUCACACCCCUCUGGAGCUAAUUUCUAAAGUCCUUUGUAUUCUUGGUGCCUGGUACAUAGGAAGCAUUUAAUUUUACCAGCGUGUAUUUCCUGGAUCAUGUCUGUUAUGCUGAUGCCAGGCACAAGUGUCAUUUAAAGAAAACCUUCUUAACUAGUAGAACUGUCCCAGUUUUUUCCCACCUUUUCAAUGAGUGUGGUGGAGGAUGGGGAAGAAGAAGAUUUGGAACUAAAAUUAAAAUAAAACUCAUUAAAACAACAACAAUGAACUACCCCAGAGUAGAAGAGACUGUCUUGGGAAUUAGUUAUGUCAUAUUUGAGUUAUUCAAGUGAAGAGGGCAUAGGGCCUAGUCCCCUGAUUUCACUGGUUUAGGGAAAUGCCAGAGCCAGAUGAGGAAACUCCCCCUCUCAGUGCCAACCAGCCCCUUCUCUGCAACUUAUCAUCUUAAGAGGGUUACCCAGACCAACGAGUCACUUGACCAGGAUUACAUGGUUAGGAUGUGCCAGAGGCAGGAUUUGAACCCAGGUCUUCUGGCUUCCAGGCCGUCUCUCUAUCUGUUACCUUUUUCAGGGGCAAAUUGGACUCUGAGGACCCUUUCAAUUCUAUGAUACUUUGAAUAAAUGCUUGAUUGAUUAAUUGA